AGGGACUUAGGAUUAACACAAACCGAGGGCCUUCAAAGCCCUAAACAAGAGUAAUACCCUCUUAGCCCCUG
rnacentral:tRNA from 1 species